GACGAACGCUGGCGGCGUGCUUAACACAUGCAAGUCGAACGGAAAGGCCCUGCUUGCAGGGUGGCUCGAGUGGCGAACGGGUGAGUAACACGUGGGUGAUCUGCCCUCGCACUUCGGGAUAAGCUUGGGAAACUGGGUCUAAUACCGGAUAGGACUACGGCCUGCAUGGGUUGUGGUGGAAAGUGCGGUGUGUAAAAGACNCUGUGCGGUGUGGGAUGGGCCCGCGGCCUACAGCUUGUUGGUGGGGNG
rnacentral:rRNA from 1 species